rnacentral:rRNA from 1 species
ACAGAGGUCUCAAGCGUUGUUCGGAUUCAUUGGGCGUAAAGGGCGCGUAGGCGGCCUCCGCAAGUCAGUUGUGAAAUCUCCGAGCUUAACUCGGAAAGGUCAACUGAUACUGCAGGGCUAGAGUGCGGAAGGGGCAACUGGAAUUCUUGGUGUAGCGGUGAAAUGCGUAGAUAUCAAGAGGAACACCUGCGGCGAAGGCGGGUUGCUGGGCCGACACUGACGCUGAGGCGCGAAAGCUAGGGGAGCGAACGGGA